UCGCCUACGGGAGGCAGCAGUGAGGAAUAUUGGUCAAUGGGCGGAAGCCUGAACCAGCCAAGUCGCGUGAGGGAAGAAGGCCCUGCGGGUCGCAGACCUCUUUGGACGGGGAGCAAGGCCGCCGACGUGUCGGCGGAAGGAGAGUACCCGUAGAACAAGCAUCGGCUAACUCCGUGCCAGCAGCCGCGGUAAUACGUAGGGGGCAAGCGUUAUCCGGAUUCACUGGGUGUAAAGGGAGCGUAGACGGCGACGCAAGUCUGGAGUGAAAGCCCGGGGCCCAACCCCGGGACUGCUCUGGAAACUGC
rnacentral:rRNA from 1 species